UACGUAGGGGGCGAGCGUUGUCCGGAGUUACUGGGCGUAAAGGGCAUGCAGGCGGUCGGAAGCGUUUUGUGUGACAGCGGGUGGCUCAACUACCCGAGCAUGCGAAAGACGGUCGGACUUGAGGACUCGAGAGGGACACGGAAUUCCGGGUGGAGUGGUGAAAUGCGUAGAGAUCCGGAGGAACACCGAAGGCGAAGGCAGUGUCCUGGCGAGUGACUGACGCUGAGGUGCGAAAGCCAGGGGAGCGAACGGG
rnacentral:rRNA from 1 species